UCAAAGCAUCUCGCUUACACCGAGAAAAUCCCUGUGAAAACCAGAGUAUUUCGA
rnacentral:tRNA from 1 species